UACGAAGGUCCCAAGCGUUAUCCGGAUUUAUUGGGUUUAAAGGGUGCGUAGGCGGGCUAUUAAGUCAGUGGUGAAAGCCCCAAGCUUAACUUGGGACUGCCAUUGAUACUGAUGGUCUUGAGUACAUUUGAGGUGGGCGGAAUGUGUCAUGUAGCGGUGAAAUGCUUAGAUAUGACACAGAACACCGAUUGCGAAGGCAGCUCACUAAACUGUAACUGACGCUGAGGCACGAAAGUGUGGGGAUCAAACAGG
rnacentral:rRNA from 1 species